rnacentral:rRNA from 1 species
UGCGUAGGGUCCGAGCGUUGUCCGGAAUUAUUGGGCGUAAAGAGCUCGUAGGCGGUUUGUCGCGUCUGCUGUGAAAUCCCGAGGCUCAACCUCGGGUCUGCAGUGGGUACGGGCAGACUGGAGUGCGGUAGGGGAGAAUGGAAUUCCUGGUGUAGCGGUGGAAUGCGCAGAUAUCAGGAGGAACACCGAUGGCGAAGGCAGUUCUCUGGGCCGUAACUGACGCUGAGGAGCGAAAGCGUGGGGAGCAAACAGG